AUGGCGCCGAAGAAGACGCCGAAGGGCAAGUCGGGCUUCUUCGGCGUGAGGCAGAAGCCCUUCGGCAACUGGGGUGUGGAGUUCUCCGACGCCGGAAGGCGUUGGUGGAUCGACACGUACCCCUCCGCCCACGAGGCCGCGCGUGCCUACGACGCGGCGGUGUGGCGUGCCGAGAGGCCUCGGUCGCACCUCAACUUUCCAGAGAUCGAGAGUCGGGCGGAAGCGGAGAUGCUUGUGCCGCAGGGCAUCAACAUGAAGGAGAUCACGACAAAGAAGAAGAAGAAGAAGCCGUCGGUUGUCGUCAGUGCUGGCGAGACCGAUGAGGAGGCGAUGGCGAGGUUUGCUUGGGAGCAUCCGGAGUACGUCCAGGCCGAGCUGGAGUACUACUGGAAGCGUGAGGCGAAGCAGAAGAAGAAGGGGCCGAAGAAGGAGGAUGAGGCCGGUCCCUCGACGCUGAUCCCCAUCGAGUCCUCUUCUGAGGAGGACUGGGCAGACUUCUCGGAGGAGGAGGAGGAGGAGGGGUGCGACGACCCGACGAAGGAGGAGUUCUGGGAGCAGUUCCGUAGCUCCGAUGAGGAGUAG
rnacentral:rRNA from 1 species